UUUUUUUCUUCUUCUUCAACAAAUAGGGAGAGAAA
rnacentral:sRNA from 1 species